rnacentral:rRNA from 1 species
CCCUUAGAUGUUCUGGGCCGCACGCGCGCUACACUGACGGAUUCAACGAGCUUACAACCUUGGCCGAAAGGUCUGGGUAAUCUCCAAAAUCCGUCGUGAUGGGGAUAGAUUAUUGCAAUUAUUAAUCUUCAACGAGGAAUGCCUAGUAAGCGCAAGUCAUCAGCUUGCGUUGAUUACGUCCCUGCCCUUUGCACACACCGCCCGUCGCUCCUACCGAUUGAAUGGUCCGGUGAAGCGUUUGGACUAUGGUUUUCUGAUGGUCCGCCGUUGGAUUACCGUGGGAAGUUCGUUAAACCUUAUCAUUUAGAGGAAGGAGAAGUCGUAACA